CAAUGGCCAAUAUCGCUCUGUUCACAGUAAAGUUCAAAUCAUUUAUUUGUGUGAUUAAAAUUAGUUUGAAAUUGCAGAGAUUGACGAGAAUAGUCAAUUUGGUAAGAAGAAGAAGAUUCUUCACCUGAGCCACCGACAUUGAAGAGGAAUACCAAACGAAAAUCAUCAAAGUGGAGGUAGCAGAACUCGGAUCUCUCGAUGUGCUUCGGUGAAGAGCAGCUGAAGGUGUUACGGUAUGAACUGAAGCUGUCUCGUUCGUGCUUAGCAAAGUCUCAUCACGGCCAUCCGCCAGCGCCUGAGGAAAAUGAAACCUGAAACGAAAUUAAACCUACCAGUUCACUGAUCACAUCCCAUCUCCAAAAGGAAGAACUGCAUUGCCACAAGGUUAACGUUCUACGAUAGCCUUGCAAACAACGUAAAACCCCAAACAAAAUUAUCGACGUCAUGAAAAUAUUUUAGUAGUACGAAUCAACAACCGACUCAAGUUAAGUUGCGGAACUGUACAUUGAAAAACACAUAAUAAGGACAAGUUAAUCCUUAGGUUAGGCUUUUGCAGCAAAUAUUCGCAGCUACAAAAAAAUUACUGUAAAAUCUCUUUAAUAAUCUGGUCAUUAGAAAUUGGGGCAGCUGAUUGGUGACGUCCGAGGCAGAUCCGGUUACGGAAUUAUUAUGCAGACUGCUGCAUUCUCUACAUGGCCACCUCCUAAUGCCGACGGGCCAGCUGGUUCCAAGUGAAGAAUAAAUAAGUCUCUGUCUGACUUUAUUUUGUUGUGUUGGAAAACGGCUCAAAUAUUCCGAUCAAAGAUUGGGAAACCGCAAAACCGGGAACAAAUUUAAACAGGGUUUACACAAUUGCUUCGGUGUUGGAAGUGUUUAGAGCAGCGUGGCCACGAUGUAUCGCCGACAAGUAAAUCACGACCAAGAUCACAUAUCUGCUAAACGAUUUGGCCCAGUGGUGACUGAAUUUUUAUUCAGACGGACGAGUUGCAGUUAAGUGAUCGAACAAUACGCAUUAUAAGAAUUAUCUAUUAGCGUGUCUCGGCCGUUUCCGCUGAUACUGUGCCAAUCCUAUGCCGGCUGGUGUUGUGAGCGAUGAAACAAUGACAUGAAUGAGGAAACCUCGUUACGGACAUCCGGAUUGUAUUUUACCGGAAGGUUCUUCCACUUGGCGGAAGCGCAACAUUAACAUUAAUAAUAGUUGCAGUUGUGGCAUCGGAUCGAACAAUACGCAUUAUAAGUGCUACCAGAGUGAUGCUACGUCAAAUUACUUUGACUCAGUCGAGAAACGAGAGAGUACGCAGUCGAGAAGACCAACUUAAAAAUCCUGAAGGGUGAUGGCUGAAACUGGAGAAUAAAUUAUAUUGAUCACAUCCUACUUCAAUCACAGCCCCAAUCGUUUAAGACACCUUAGGAUUCCGAUAAACUCGGAUAAACUCGCACUGAUUCAUCUGGAUGGAGCCAACUCAGCCGCAGUCUUUUAAGGAUUCCGAUAAAUUCCCACCGAAUCAUCUGGAUGUCCUAUCCAGGUCACACAUGGGGCCCUAUUUAAGCAAAGGAUGUCACAAUGGACACGGCACAUCCUCCAUAACCAAAAAAGAAUUGGAUGAAAAGGUGCACAGCAUAUAAACGCAUUUGAUUUGUUAUAUAAAGAAGUCAAUGUACUACCGACAAUCUUAAAGUCUUGAAGGUUUAAAAACCUGAUUGCAAACUGCAUGGACGCACACAAGUUGAGGCGGAGGCCACAGCUAUAAAGACGCG